UCCUUUUCUUUCACCUUAUAUAUGUUAACUAUUUCUUUAAAGUUUUCUAAUCUCUUAAAGACUUAAACAUAUUGCAGCUGGGGUUAGCCUUUUGAUCAUAAUGAAUAAACAUUAAAUAUAUACUAUGAGGGAAAGAAAUAAAGAAUGAUUACAAAGUUGCUUCCCUCUUCUGGUUUGUUUCCCCCAAAGCUGACGUAUUUUGGUCUAAUUGAAGUGAGCGGUUUAUUUUUGGUCCAAUAGAUUUUACUUCGGUUCUCCUCCUUAUUCAAUGUAAGUAAUUUCCUCUGGGUCACUUCUUCUUCUUUUUCUUCUUCUUCAUGACUUACUCUAUUCUCUUUGUCUCGCUUUUCUUCUCCUUUUUCUCCCAAUGACUAAUUUCAUAAUUUCAGGUUCAAUUUAAGCUAUGCAUUUUAGGGUUUAUUAGGGUUGGAUUACAUAUAUUAUCUAUAUUUUUCUUACUUAGUCUUUAAAAUGGUCUUUUUACAAUUAUCUAGAGCAUCUGAUGUUGCCCUGAGGUAUAUAUAAUCACUUGUUCCUCUACCUUCUGGUGCUUUUCUAUGUCAAAAGGACAAGCAUCAUAUCAUAUGCUUUGAUAUGAGUGUCGGCCCCCACCUUGAAGCUCUUCCACGUUGUGUCGCUAGCUUCCCUUUGCCGCUUCAAUUGCAAUAAAGUUCUUGAACCUCUGUAAAUUGGUUUAUUUAGUUAUUCGUACCUCAAAUCGAAUCUACUAGAGCUUAAGAAAUGCUUUAUACAUAUGUGUAAUCUUUUGUUAGAAAAGUAAGGUGGCUACAGAUUAAGUUGCUAGAACAAUCAAAAAUCACUUCUGAGCCUACGAGAGAAAAUGAUUUAGUAGAUGGAUGUUUUCACUCUUUCUUUUUCAACUUUUUUGCUUUAUUAUUAGGUAGUAACAUGUUGACUUUGAGGUCAACAGUUGAAAGAAUACCCUAUCUUUAGGAAAUUGUACUUACUUUUCUGCUUCAUCUUAUCAACUUUGUAAAGGAAAAUUAAUGGCAACCGAUGAGAAAAGUAAAGAUGGUACUGCCAUAUAUUUUCAUAUUCAGGUAUGUUUACAUUUUAAACUUUCAAGUGAGUUAUGUUUGAGUUUUCUUGAUUGAGAAUAAUGAUUAGAUUAUUUAAUAUUUUAAUUUGAUGUGAUGAUACAAGGAGCAUACAUGGUAGGUAAAAUGUGAUAGGUGGUUAAAUUGUUUCCAUAUCUUCUUUUCCAAUUUUCAUCGUCUCAAGUCCAUCAUUGCAUGGUGGUUUAUUUGCUUCACUACUCUCUUUGUGGCUCUUACCAGUCAAGAUGUUGGUUAUAUCAACCAAUUGGAUCGCUUAACUUAGCUAUUUUACACAUAUAACAAACCAAGCUUCAUAUUGAAUUACAGGCUACAGUGAAAUUUGAAGAAAAGAGGCAUAGCUUUCAUUAUCGUUAUGGUCUUGAACCAACAAUGGUUGAAUGCGCUAAAGCCACGUUACUUUUCUUCCUUUUGGCAUAUAAUGUGUAGGUAUCUAUGUUAAAUCUGAAGCCGAAUUAAAAUUAAUGUUUUACCUUAACAGUCGAAGCAUACUUGCAUUCUUUUUUUGUCAAGAAGGCAAGUUGCACUUUUUUAUAGGCAAUUGGUAGACAAUUUUGCCACCACAAUGCUAAUUGUCAUGUCAGCUGGUGAACCUGAAGAAAACAAUGACAUUCGAUUAUCAUUUUUACUAUUUUUUUUGUUUUGGUUUACUUGGAAUCUACAAAUUAAUACUAUGAGAUAAGUUAAAAAUUAUAUGUUUUUACUUCAAUAUAAUACUUGUAAGGCUGUAACUGAAUAAUGAUAAAUUUCAAUAGGUAUUAUUUAAAUGUAAAAACUAAAGUGUAAAAUUAAACAUGACAUUAUGAAAUAUAAUAUACUUUUCCGUUUUACAUUUAACCAUCUAUGACAAAAAACAUGGACCAUAAAAUGGAAGAUUUAACCGGUUCAAUUGGCAAAAUUGAUGAAAAUUAAAAGAAAUGGCUACAUACUUUGCUUUAUUUGCUUACUAAAGCAUCCUAUUUUAUUCCCUUAUUAUCACAUCCGACAUGAUUAUAGAUGCAUCACUACCAUGAAAAAUACAAUAUUUUUCUAUUUUGUUUCAGAUAAAAAUAACAGCGUACUUUACUUUAUUGGCUUAUUAUAGCAUCCUACUCCAUUUGUUUACUAUAACAUCCUACAUGAUUAUGAUGGUGUACAUUGAUAUCUUAGGACUUCAACUAUAAUAUAAAUAUUAUGGGCUUUUAGAUGCAAAAAAUAGCGAUGUACUUCCAUUGAUUUUCAAUUUUCGUUGCUACAACUGAAAAGAUUUUCAAAAUAUAUUGUCCUAAUAAGAAAUGGAAGUACAUUGUUAUAUGACAUUGGGGUUGGGCGUAAGCUUGGGUUGUCGGGGUGAGGGGUGGGGUGGGGUGGUGGCAGCCGUUUCAUAUUCCAUGGGCAGAAAUCACUCCACCUUGAAGAAUCCUCUUAUAUAAGAGAAGAAAAAAAAAAGUAAGUCAAUGUUUGGGUAAAGUGGCUAAAUGGAAGGAUGCCCUUCUGGAUAAUUACAAGCAUGAAAAGAACAUACCUGUAAAGAAACCUUCAUUCUUAAUGGCCACAACAGCUACUGCGUCACUAAAAUGUACAAAAAAUUCAUUUGCUUUCUUAGUGUAUUUCAACACACGAUGAAGAUGUUUUCUAUUUUUAUCCUGAAGAAUGCUCUCAUAAUGGAUUUGAGGAAUUCUUGAGCAGAUACAUGGAAAUUGUCGCUUAUUUAAAGCUUGCAUGACUGACAUCAGUUGCCCCUAUCACUGAACAUGCUAUGACUAUUAUUAAACAUAUCAGGGGCCAAUAUCAUGUGUUGUUAAUUAUUGUAGAUGGGUGGAGAUUUAGUGUCUUCAUAUGAUCGCCUAUGGCGAGCCCCCUCAUAACCUUAUACACCAGGGCAGUUAAAGUGGGAGAUCAGGCAACCCAUUUUUGCAGGUUGAAGCUUCUAUACACCCAUAAAAAUGCCUUGGAAUCUAUAAGUGUUUGAAAUGGAUAUGAAAGAAAAGAGCAACUCUAUAGAGGAUGUAAUAAGAAAAAAGGUACAAGAUGUUUACCAAAAGGAAAAUGUUAUAAAUCAUAAUGAGGAAAACAUAACUUCUGCUCUAAUUACCUUUGUGCCCUUAUACUUUUAGAAACAAUAACAAAAAUAUUCAAUGAAAAGCUAUAUUGCGAGUAUAAAACGUGUUUUUCUAGAAUCACAUCAAACUAGCUUA